rnacentral:rRNA from 1 species
CCUACGGGUGGCAGCAGUGAGGAAUAUUGGUCAAUGGACGCAAGUCUGAACCAGCCAAGUAGCGUGCAGGAUGACGGCCCUCCGGGUUGUAAACUGCUUUUAGUUGGGAAUAAAAGGGGGCUCGUGAGCCCCGUAUUGUAUGUACCAUCAGAAAAAGGACCGGCUAAUUCCGUGCCAGCAGCCGCGGUAAUACGGAAGGUCCGGGCGUUAUCCGGAUUUAUUGGGUUUAAAGGGAGCGUAGGCCGGCUUUUAAGUCAGCUGUGAAAGUCCGCGGCUCAACCGUGGAAUUGCAGUUGAAACUGGAGGCCUUGAGUGCACACAGGGAUGCCGGAAUUCAUGGUGUAGCGGUGAAAUGCUUAGAUAUCAUGAAGAACUCCGAUCGCGAAGGCGGCUUUCUGGACUGAAACUGACGCUGAGGCUCGAAAGCGUGGGGAGCGAACAGGAUUAGAUACCCUUGUAGUC